rnacentral:lncRNA from 1 species
AUGAACUCUGAAGGAGGAAGCCACGAUGUCAGCUGUCUGUUCCCUUUGUCAUCACUGCUAGACACUAUUUGCUGAUUUAUUUGUUCAAUGCUGGUCUCCCACACUAGACCAUGAGCAGGAAGGAGAGGCAGCAUGCAACUGUGCUCGUUGUCUACACAGGGCCUAGCACUGGGCCUGGGCCAGGGCAGGCACCUGGGAGGGCCUUGGUUUCUGAGGCUGAGAGAGGAUAAGCUAAGCAAGGGGCAGAACAGGACACCAACCAUCUCCAGACCCCAGUACAACACAGAUGGCAGGCCAAAGAGGGACUGUGUCGUCUGAUUCAAGAGUACAGACUACACAGCCAGAAUAAUCGGGGCCUGGCUUGGACUCUCUUUAAAUAUUCAUUCCUCAUCUGUAAAAUGAGCAUAUGAGUCCCACUUCACCAGACUGUAGGACAUACGUGAAGGACUCUGCAGUGUCUGGAACAUAUUUAUGGCCCCUGAAAUAAACAGUUAUUGAUGACAGAGAUGAAAAGAAGAAGAUCCAAUGGAGUAAUCUUCAAGGCCUGCUUCAAGUCUUGCCUUGAUUGCUGCAAGAGAGAAGGUCACCUAUCUCCCCAGGUAGCCUCUCUCACCCUGACAAUGUAUCUUCACAGGUAAGGGACAAAGACAAGACUAGAAAUCAUCCCUCUGCCCACCUCAAGACAAAUGCAGAUCUGACUUCUUCUUCCUCUACUCUAUGUUUACUUUAUCUUAUGUAAAAUACAAGAUUUACUGAGCAGGAGCCGAAUGCA